UUAGGACGAAGUCACUGAUCCCACGCUUCCAGGAAAAGCCUCUAAGCUUCAGCUGCGAUAGAACCGUACCGCAAUCCGACACAGGUAGGCAGGGUGAGAAUCCCAAGGCGCUUGAGAGAACUCGGGUGAAGGAACUAGGCAACAUAGCACCGUAACUUCGGGAGAAGGUGCGCCUGAGAGUGUGGCUACAUGCGUAGCUGAGCAUUCCCAGGCCGCAGUGACCAGGCCGCUGCGACUGUUUAUCAAAAACACAGCACUCUGCAAACACGAAAGUGGACGUAUAGGGUGUGACACCUGCCCGGUGCCGGAAGGUUAAUUGAUGGGGUCAGCCGCAAGGCGAAGCUCUUGAUCGAAGCCCCGGUAAACGGCGGCCGUAACGAUAACGGUCCUAAGGUAGCGAAAUUCCUUGUCGGGUAAGUUCCGACCUGCACGAAUGGUGUAACGACAGCGGCGCUGUCUCCACCCGAGACUCAGUGAAAUUGAAAUCGCUGUGAAGAUGCAGCGUUCCCGCGGCAAGACGGAAAGACCCCGUGAACCUUUACUAUAGCUUUACAUUGAACGUUGAGUUCGUCUGUGUAGGAUAGGUGGGAGGCAUUGAAGUGUGGUCGCCAGAUCGCAUGGAGCCAACCUUGAAAUACCACCCUGAUGUGCUUGACGUUCUAACCUGGGUCCGUAAUCCGGAUCGGGGACCAUGUAUGGUGGGUAGUUUGACUGGGGCGGUCUCCUCCCAAAGAGUAACGGAGGAGCUCGAAGGUACGCUCAGCGCGGUCGGACAUCGCGCACUGUGUGCAAAGGCAUAAGCGUGCUUGACUGCGAGAUCGACGGAUCAAGCAGGUACGAAAGUAGGACUUAGUGAUCCGGUGGUUCUGUAUGGAAGGGCCAUCGCUCAACGGAUAAAAGGUACUCCGGGGAUAACAGGCUGAUUCCGCCCAAGAGUUCAUAUCGACGGCGGAGUUUGGCACCUCGAUGUCGGCUCAUCACAUCCUGGGGCUGUAGCCGGUCCCAAGGGUAUGGCUGUUCGCCAUUUAAAGUGGUACGCGAGCUGGGUUCAGAACGUCGUGAGACCGUUCGGUCCCUAUCUGUCGUGGGCGUUGGAGGUUUGAGAGGGGCUGCUCCUAGUACGAGAGGACCGGAGUGGACGAAUCCCUGGUGUUCCGGUUGUCACGCCAGUGGCACUGCCGGGUAGCUACAUUCGGAAGCGAUAACCGCUGAAAGCAUCUAAGUGGGAAGCGCGCCUCAAGAUGAGACCUCCCGAGCCAUAAGGCUCCUAAAGGAACCAUGAAGACUACGUGGUUGAUAGGGUGGGUGUGUAUCGCAGUAAUGCCGAGCUAACCACUACUAAUGAUCCGUGCGGCUUGACC
rnacentral:rRNA from 1 species